rnacentral:rRNA from 1 species
AUUGAACGCUGGCGGCAGGCUUAACACAUGCAAGUCGAGCGGGGUGAUGGUGCUUGCACUAUCACUUAGCGGCGGACGGGUGAGUAAUGCUUAGGAAUCUGCCUAUUAGUGGGGGACAACAUCUCGAAAGGGAUGCUAAUACCGCAUACGUCCUUCGGGAGAAAGCAGGGGAUCACUUGUGACCUUGCGCUAAUAGAUGAGCCUAAGUCGGAUUAGCUAGUUGGUGGGGUAAAGGCCUACCAAGGCGACGAUCUGUAGCGGGUCUGAGAGGAUGAUCCGCCACACUGGGACUGAGACACGGCCCAGACUCCUACGGGAGGCGGCAGUGGGGAAUAUUGGACAAUGGGGGGAACCCUGAUCCAGCCAUGCCGCGUGUGUGAAGAAGGCCUUAUGGUUGUAAAGCACUUUAAGCGAGGAGGAGGCUCUUUUGGUUAAUACCCAAGAUGAGUGGACGUUACUCGCAGAAUUAGCACCGGCUAACUCUGUGCCAGCCGCCGCGGUAA